UCCCGCACGUCAAUCCUGGUCUAUCUUCCGUUUCCUUCCUUCUCUGCCGCACCAAUUCCCUCCCCUUCGCUCCCCUUCCGACGCCCACCCGCACGCCCCUCCUCCGCCAGAUCUCCGCGGCGGUACCGGAGGCCUUCCUCACUGCCGCGGCAGAGCUCCUCCACCGCCGCGCCGAAGACCCGGGUCCGGCGGCCAUUGAGCUGGGGCACAAGCUGACCCACGCCCUCCUCCGCCGCCAGCUCAGCGCCACCGACCCGCGCCGCGGACACCAUCACUCCGGCCUGCGCUCCACCUAGCCGCGGGCGCCGACGCCACGCCUCCUCCGCCAGCUCUCCGCGGGGCCAGCUCUCCCAAUCUCGUGAUCCCCAAUCCGGAGGUCUCCGAGUCGCCGAUCCGGGCGCGGCCGGAGGAGAGAUCCCGCCGAUCAGGGAGCUCAGGGGCUCGGAUUCGAGCUCGUACUCGUGGCCCAUGCUCUCCCCUGCGCUCGUGAUCUCACCCUGCUCCGAUGUCCCAGCCGCGCCUCCCCGCCGGCCCUAACCGCUGCACCCCCCUGCUCUCCGCCGCACUCGCCGACGCCUCUGACCUGCAACGAGCCGGUGCUCCCUACGAUCUGCUCCGAUCCGAGGUCCUCGCCGUCGGCCCUGCGUUCAUCGUCGGCGCCACGUUCACCAUCACACUCGGACCUGCAACGCCAUGGACUAUUCCGCGCGCUCACGAUCUCGCCCAGCUGCGGACGCCGUCGCUGCGCCACCCUCCCAACCGCGCCGCCCUUGCGGACGACGUCGCCACGCCGCCCUCCUCACCGCGACUCCCCAUGGUGCUUCCGUGGAACCUGAGCGCAUCUCGCCCAUAUGGCUCUCUCUGCUCUUAGAGAGCACAAACUAAGGAGUCGGGAGCUUCCAGCGUCAGGCCUAGGCUUCACGGCAUAACCUGAUUGUGUAAAUUCAUUUGGCUUUCUCUUCUCAUGGAUAUUGACGAACCAAGAACUCCACGUAUACUGGCACCGCCGCUACCGAAUACUGGCAGCGGAGGCAGCUCAAUAGCCGCGGGAUCGGGUGGUGCUCAAGCCACCUUCCUCCGGCGCAGGACCAUAGAUCAUCCGUGCUCUUGAGCUACUUGAAGUUUCCAUGGGAUGAUCUGGUUCAUGUGAUAGUGGUUUCAAUACUGCCAUCAAGAUUGGUGGUGAUCCGAGCGUUUUGAGGGCAAAUGAUGGGAAGGACAUGUGCUAGCGGCGUUGACAUACUCUUCUUCUUGAGGUAGGAGUGAGGAGGAAGGCUGAACCUUCUGAAACAGCCAGCAAAAUUGAGAGUUAACCGAGGAUCGCGCAGCGGCCGCCGCUCCAGCCGACAAUGAUCCCUCCAUCACAGUACUGUAGGAAGAUUGAAAAAUAGCAGGCUAAAGUAGAGAAAUAGUUCAAGAUAUGUGGCAUAACGAUGCCAUCAUUCAUUCCUAACGGCUGUUCUAAUACAUAUUUUUGCUUAUGAGAAGAAGGUUUCAAUAUAUUUACAAACUAAUUGAUCAGUCCUUCAGAGGCUUCCAGGUUCAGCCGUGGUCAUCAUGAGUACAAGCUGCUAAGAGCAACAACCGUGUGGAGCAUUGCAGGUUCUGUGAAUUGUGCUAAUAAAUAAUGGGUUAACAUGCAUGCCAUGGUCAGCAUUGAGUUCAACCUCCUGUUUGUUCUUCCUGCUAUUCCAAGAUGAUUUGGAGAGGAAGGCUGUUUGUUCUUCCUGCUAUUCCAAGAUCUGGAGAAGAAGGCUGAGGUGCUCGAGAAGAAAAUAUUUCUACUUUGGGGCCAUGUAAAUCACAGAAUCAAGUUAGCAUAAAUUAUUGGGAGCUCACUCAUGGUUCUUUUUUUGGACUAAUUUCAGGUUUCCACACUGAUAGCAGCAGGAUUGACUAAUUUCAGGUUUGAUUUGAUUAUUCUAUUCUCUUCUCGAUUUAAUGAAUGCUUUGAUAUUUUCCGCUAAUUAGAGGUGGGUUGUGAUUGGGCCAGGAAGAGUAUUAGUGAUGGGGUUAAAUACUAAGACCUUAGCUAAGUUAUCUCUAUAUAUAUAUGGAGGUUUUUUCCUUUGGGUGUUUUUUCAUUCAUUAAGUUCAGCUUUUUUAUUGCUGUAUGUACCAAGCUGAAUGCCGUACAUGAGCUCCAAUAUGUCUGUUCUAAGAGAUUUACCUGAUAAUACUAUAUGCCAAUAUUAAGUUAUUUUUGUUACAGUCAAGGACACAGUUAGAAUGCUUGCAUGGUAGAGCUCACGAGUUCAAGGAAUAUGGCUACAAUGCAGUCCUUAUGCAAUCUGAUUCUGUCAAGUAUGCUCUUAUGCAACAUGUGCUAUUUUUUUCCUACUGCAGCCAUUUGGGGAGAGUUUAUCUAAAUGCCUAAAGCAUGGACUUUACAAUCCACUUAAAGUAAGAUCAAAGUAUUGCAGAUGCGAUAUACAUCACUAACAGUGUUUCAUUCUCCUUUGUAAUUUUUGACAUUCCUGUUUUCUGCCUUUAUUUACAAAAUUUGGUUACUUAUUCUGUCUCAAGUCUAAACUUUACUAUCAGCUGAUGGAGUACUGGAUACCUGACCAAUCUUUGCUUUUAUGGAAUUAUAUGCACUACUUUAUUUGUCCAUAUGUUCAAUCCUAGCAUCUGCAGUUUAUUCCCAGUAAGACUGUGUUAGGCUGCAGCACAAUGCUAAUAAAUUUGAUUCAUCCAGAAGAUAUUAUUUUUACUACUGCAACAAGUUUUGGAUGUCAAAAAGAUCUAUGAAGAGAUUAACUGCAUUGCAUCGAGUUUUAUUUGUCAAAGGUCUAGGAGAAAUUAGAACGGUAGACAUAUUGCUAACUAAUUACACAAAAUUAUUAGUACAGUAGACAUACCAGUAUGCUUGAUCACUUUCAGUAUGCCUUAUUCUGUUCUGAUUAUCUAACUCCUAUGAAGUUGAAUAUCUUUUCCUCGUGUGUAAACUGUAUGUUAAUGCUGACGUGUAAUUUCCGGAGGUGAAAUCCGAAGGGUGUAGACUCAUAGGGGGUGAGAGAACAGAGCGUAGAGCUGAAGGGUGAAGCUGAAGACACCGCAAGAUCCCAGAACAAGACGCUCGAGAAACGGGAUCGGCGGCAGCAAGGACACGAGGGCUGGAGGGGAGCAACUAGAUGGAGGUGCGCGGUCAAGCAAUCCCCUUCAGUUCAUGACCGAAGGCUAGGCGUCUGAACAAACAAACUGAGCAGUAAAGGUGUAAAGGGUAGCCUAGACAAUCCUGUAAUUGUGUUUGAUGGGAUGGCUUGUCCAAAGUUAAACGAACGAAUGAAACGUCUCUUUGGGCUGUUGUAAUACUUCAUUCGGAAGGGUAUUCUUCACCAAUAGGUUGCUCACAGAUAAUGUUGCUCUACUACGUUAGUUGCAGGUCACUUGCUUUGCACAUGCAUUUGGAUUCAAACAUUGGCAGGCUUGACCAUGACUAAUCUGAGCAAGAAAUAUGGAUGGAUCUUGCUACA